rfam:Clostridium thermocellum ATCC 27405, complete genome.
GGCAGCCUGAAAUGUGCGGAGUAACCUAUAAUUUUGAACCUACACAUGACAGAAGGGAGUUUGGAGUUUGAAAGUACGAUGCCAGGCCGCAUAGCAAUUCCGACACAUGUCUUUAAGAUAUGUGCAACGGCAGCGGAAGGCAGAGGCUUUCAACAGAACACCCACCUAGCGAGGGCUAGGUGUCAAAAUAUAGGGGAACGGCAUUUUGGGUGCAA